AUUGAACGCUGGCGGCAGGCUUAACACAUGCAAGUCGAGCGGGGUGAUGGUGCUUGCACUAUCACCUAGCGGCGGACGGGUGAGUAAUGCUUAGGAAUCUGCCUAUUAGUGGGGGACAACAUCUCGAAAGGGAUGCUAAUACCGCAUACGUCCUACGGGAGAAAGCAGGGGAUCACUUGUGACCUUGCGCUAAUAGAUGAGCCUAAGUCGGAUUAGCUAGUUGGUGGGGUAAGGGCCUACCAAGGCGACGAUCUGUAGCGGGUCUGAGAGGAUUAUCCGCCACACUGGGACUGCGACACGGCCCAGACUCCUACGGGAGGCAGCAGUGGGGAAUAUUGGACAAUGGGGGGAACCCUGAUCCAGCCAUGCCGCGUGUGUGAAGAAGGCCUUAUGGUUGUAAAGCACUUUAAGCGAGGAGGAGGCUCUUUUGGUUAAUACCCAAGAUGAGUGGACGUUACUCGCAGAAUAAGCACCGGCUAACUCUGUGCCAGCCGCCGCCGUAA
rnacentral:rRNA from 1 species